rnacentral:rRNA from 1 species
GACGAACCGUGCGAACGUUGUUCGGAAUCACUGGGCUUAAAGGGCGCGUAGGCGGGUCAGCAAGUCCGGGGUGAAAUCUUUCGGCUUAACCGGAAAAGGGCCUUGGAUACUGCUGGUCUCGAGGGAGGUAGGGGCCUGCGGAACUUCUGGUGGAGCGGUGAAAUGCGUUGAUAUCAGAAGGAACGCUGGUGGCGAAAGCGGCGGGCUGGACCUCUUCUGACGCUGAGGCGCGAAAGCCAGGGGAGCAAACGGG